UAGGGAAUUGUUCGCAAUGGGCGCAAGCCUGACGACGCAACGCCGCGUGGAGGAUGAAGAUCUUCGGGUCGUAAACUCCUUUCGAUUGGGACGAACUCCUCGGGGGUGAACAAUCUUCGAGGUUGACGGUACCGAGAGAAGAAGCCCCGGCUAACUCCGUGCCAGCAGCCGCGGUAAUACGGGGGGGGCAAGCGUUGUUCGGAAUUACUGGGCGUAAAGGGCUCGUAGGCGGCCAACUAAGUCAGACGUGAAAUCCCUCGGCUUAACCGGGGAACUGCGUCUGAUACUGGAUGGCUUGAGUUUGGGAGAGGGAUGCGGAAUUCCAGGUGUAGCGGUGAAAUGCGUAGAUAUCUGGAGGAACACCGGUGGCGAAGGCGGCAUCCUGGACCAAUACUGACGCUGAGGAGCGAAAGCCAGGGGAGCAAACGGGAUUAGAUACCCCGGUAGUCCUGGCCCUAAACGAUGAAUGCUUGGUGUGGCGGGUAUCGAUCCCUGCCGUGCCGAAGCUAACGCAUUAAGCAUUCCGCCUGGGGAGUACGGUCGCAAGGCUGA
rnacentral:rRNA from 1 species